AAUCAGAUUAGGAUUGAGGGAAUUCACAUUAUAAAUGGUAGAAUAAUAGAAAGGUUAUUUAGCUUUGCCCAUGAGGAGAGGUUUCGCCCAUGGAGAGUGGCUUUGCCUAUUGAAAAGAGUGGUUUUUGACUCAUGGAGUGAGGCUGUUGCCUAUUGCAGAGAGGGGGUUUGCUAAUUGUUGAGGAUUUGACUUUGUCCAUUGAUGAGGGGCACUUGCCUAUUGUAGUGGAGAGAGGCUUUCGCUUAAGGUGGAGAAAGGACAUAAAUUUCAAAAGUAACGAAUUCUUAUCCAUUAAUAAGAGGGUUCUUGCCCCAUAUAGUUGAAGAUACCCUUUGUGGUAUAGCAAUUGUAAUAGCAAAUAUAUUGGAUUAUGUUUAGAGGAAACUGAGAAAAUUAACUAAUAUAUUUGCUAUAAGCAAUUAUGUAGUGUAGAUUCUCUUGGCUGUCAUUGGAUUAAUGGGUAGUAUAGUUUUGAGCUUGUAAUG
rnacentral:misc_RNA from 1 species